rnacentral:tRNA from 1 species
GAGUCCACCGCCUGCCUUAGUAGUCUCAAAUAAGGCGUGCGGGCGAUCCAGUGGAGACGCAGUGGGGCCUGUAGCUCAGAGGAUUAGAGCACGUGGCUACGAACCACGGUGUCGGGGGUUCGAAUCCCUCCUCGCCCAC